rnacentral:sRNA from 12 species
UGACUAUCUUAAUUAUAUUAAGAUUUAGCCAUACGGACAGCUGGUCAAAAUGCCGC